rnacentral:rRNA from 1 species
UACGUAGGGUCCGAGCGUUGUCCGGAAUUACUGGGCGUAAAGAGCUCGUAGGUGGUUUGUCGCGUUGUCCGUGAAAACUCACAGCUCAACUGUGGGCGUGCGGGCGAUACGGGCAGACUGGAGUACUGCAGGGGAGACUGGAAUUCCUGGUGUAGCGGUGGAAUGCGCAGAGUAUCAGGAGGAACACCCGGUGGCGAAGGCGGGUCUCUGGGACGUGACUGGACGC